AAAACUCAAAGGAAUUGACGGGGGCCCGCACAAGCGGCGGAGCAUGUGGAUUAAUUCGAUGCAACGCGAAGAACCUUACCUGGGCUUGACAUAUGCAGGAUCGGCGUAGUGAUACGUUUUCCCUUGUGGUCUGUAUACAGGUGGUGCAUGGUUGUCGUCAGCUCGUGUCGUGAGAUGUUGGGUUAAGUCCCGCAACGAGCGCAACCCUUGUCUUAUGUUGCCAGCACGUGAUGGUGGGGACUCAUGAGAGACUGCCGGGGUUAACUCGGAGGAAGGUGGGGAUGACGUCAAAUCAUCAUGCCCCUUAUGUCCAGGGCUUCACACAUGCUACAAUGGUCGGUACAACGCGCUGCGAGCCUGUGAGGGUGAGCGAAUCGCUGAAAGCCGGCCUCAGUUCGGAUUGGGGUCUGCAACUCGACCCCAUGAAGUCGGAGUCGCUAGUAAUCGCAGAUCAGCAACGCUGCGGUGAAUACGUUCCCGGGCCUUGUACACACCGCCCGUCACGUCAUGAAAGUUGGUAACACCCGAAGCCAGUGGCCUAACCCUUGUGGGGGGAGCUGUCGAAGGUGGGAUCGGCGAUUGGGACGAAGUCGUAACAAGGUAGCCGUACCGGAAGGUGCGGCUGGAUCACCUCCUUUCUAAGGAG
rnacentral:rRNA from 1 species